AAACAGAAAGCGGCUCUCUUCCCUUGAAUUCUCCCAGACCUAAUCUUUGAGAACCUACUACAGUCUGAGAAAAUGGAGGCAGAAGUCUCAGGACCUUGCUAGAACCCCCAGCAAGUCAGCGGCAGAUCCAAGAUCACCCAGGACACCUGGAAAUCUGGCCAGCGCGCAACAGAAAGCACAAGACCUCCCUUAGGCUGAAAAGCUGUGAACAAUAUGGAUCCUAGAGCUGGCCGGGGCCCCAACACCCAGCUGUCUGAGCUCCUCUGGUACCAGACCUUGCAGGGAGGCCACGCACUGGGUAGGUGAGUGAUCUGGAGGGAGGACUCCAGGUGAGCCCAGCAUCAAUCUCCUCACACCGUGACCCCGUGGCUGGAGGGAGAGCCUUCCGCUUGGGCACGUCCACGCUUCCCCUCUUGGGACAGAGACUGUCACAGCACUUGGUCACCAGUUCUCUGGUUUCCCAACAUCCCUCCUCUCCUCUGGGCCCAUCAUGGAACCGCUUUCACUGAUGGGACCCAAACAUCCAGUUCUGGGUCCCUGUCCUCUAGCAGCUAAGGGGUAAGUGUGUGUGGCUAUGUCCAUGUUGACACUGGGCUCUCUGCUCAUAGGGAAGCAGCCAUUUCCCCUGACCCUGCAGCGAUCACACCCAGUCCUCCUGGACCCAGGGAUGUUCCGCCUUCUGCAGUGGCAUUUAGCCUCAGGACCCCUGCCCAGCAGCCAGCAUCUGUGCCGGGGCUGGAGGAGGACCAGCUUCUGCCCCCAACUCAGUGCUAAGCAGAACUGUGGACAUUAAGUAGAAGCAUCUGGGCCUGGAUGGGGCUCAGUGAGAGGUCCAAGUUACUUUGGAGAAAGCAGUUGGGUCAGGUGUGGGUCCUUGAAUGCCGACCUCAUCCUUAACCUCAGUGUUUAAGGCAACUCCCCAUUCUGCUUCCCAUCCACACCCCCCCAGCCUCCUGCCCUGCUGAUAAGGCCCUGCUCUAGGCAGCUCUGGGCUGCUGUCCCAGGCAUGGGUGGGGACAGGGAAUGGGCCGGAGGGCUCUGAGGCCCUGGGAACAUUCUGGGCUGCACACCCGUAAGAGGAGCUGAUGCGCCCAGUCAGCCCCCCAGGGCAAGGAGCCACCCCUGCUGUGCCUCUGUCCUUUGGGCAGCCAUACCCUCCCGGCAGGCUGCGCGGGGCUCUGUCUCCCCCAGGCAGGGUGAGGCCGAGCCUCCCUGUAGAGGCUGCUGUACUUGCUGCAGAGAUUCAGGGACAUACCUAGUGGCCUGCCCCGCCCUUGUCAUCAUCACGAGGGGGACGUUAAACUCUGUGACCUGCAGAAGUGUCUCCUUCACAAAAACUAGGGCCUGUCCUGGGGCGAGGCUGACUCCAGCUCCCAACCUCCCCAGGGACCCGCCCAGGGAGAGCAUCCUGUGCUGGGAGCGCCGCGCCAGACAGAGCUGCUGAGCUUCUCCAGGACCAUGUUUAGUGUGCGCAGGCCCUGUUCUGGGGUGACUGAUAAGCACCUCCCUUUGGAGAACUCAACCCUGGUUUCCUGGCGACAGGAUUGUUGUGCACCAUCCGGGCAGAAGUGGCUGGCUUCAAGUAAGGCGAGGCAGGGCCCCCUUGGGUUUGUAUGGAACGUGUUAUUGUGGAGGAGGGCAGCCAGGGCAUGCUGAUCCUAAGAACAACGUCUCAGAACCAUAAGAUGUACGGCACCUAGAAUUCUCCGUCUUUUACAUGUCAGGGUCCAGGGUGUUUGUGAUCCUGGAACUUGAGGCUUUUGGAUCUACCUUCAAGAUAACACAUGUGGUUCAUCGUGGCACUUGGAAAUCGGACAGCCUCAGCUGCCAGACUUCUUUGCACAUCAUCCCCUCACUGCCCCUCACACAUCAUUCCCCACCUGCCCCCGCAUCCAAGGCCUUGUCCCUCAGUCUAUGUCCAGGGUCAACCAGAGAUGGGUCUGGUCCAGAUAGGCCCCUCAGUAGCCUGUGGCAGUGCUCACCCCCACCUCCAAGGGGAGCCAGAGCAGAGCAACCAGACAAGUGCUCUGGACGUGCCCCGGCACUCCCAGAGAGGAGCUCAAGUCCUUCCAGAGCCUUUGGAAUGUUUCUCCACUCCCAGUAACUCCAUGUCUCCCAAACAGAGCUUGGGGCACAAGAGGGUGAGGGUCGUUAGCAGCUACCAAACAGCUGAAGCAGCUGAGGACCCAGCGAAAGCCUACGGAACUCUGUGGUCAGGCAGAGAGCGCUGGAGGGCCCCGAGGAGAUGGCCUGGGGUUCAGGGAAAGGGGAGGCUUCCAGGUGCUGCUGGCCGUUAAGUCCUGGAAUCAACUCCCUCCCUCAGAGACCGCAUGGAUCCUAUAGACCACUGAUCCGGUCUACACAGCCUGCGUAGGUCCUCACAAGAGGCAGGCAGCAGAACUAAUGCCUCGUGUUAGAGAUGAGCAGAUGGAGGACAGAGAAGCUGAGAGUCUCACCAAGAUCAAGUGGUGACUUGGAGGCAAAGACAGAGGCCGACUUGGUCUCCUGACUCCUAGUGCAGUCGUGGAGUCCAACACUGCAGCUCAGACGACCUCCUGAGGUCACUGCGUCCACGAGGAGCAGGUCCCCAGAGCUGAUCUGGGCACUGGCCCUGAUGCUGUCACCCUCCCGGACACCCGUGGAUUGGGAGUUUGGUGGACAGCAGGCUCUACAGGAGGGGAUGCAUGAGGAACCUUCAGGAACACUCACCAUUUAGGUCCCAUUCAGUGGGUGUUUAGCGUCCAGAAUGAGGAGGUUGGAGCCUGGCUCUACCCCACGCAGUCAGAUCCUGCAGUGUGUUCAGUUGAGAGCAAGUAGGUGAGGACCCUCAGGGGCUGCCUGAGGAAGGGCUGGAGGAACUGGGUGUGACAACUGGAGAAGAGAAGGCUCUGAUGGUGAUGUGCUCAUCGUCCACAAAUGCUGAAUCCAUCCAGGAGGGGUUGGGGUCUUCUUUUGUGGCCCCAGGGUGGAGUUAGGGCUGAGGAGGGGAGCCUCAGGAGGAACACUCAGUGCCUGGGUGGACAGGGAUGGAGAGGACAGCACUGGGUAACAGUGGCUUUGGUCCUCGGUCCCUUGCCUUGAUUGGCAGCAUCUGGUCCCCAAGGGAAGUUAUGAGAUGGACACCCCGGCCUUUCUCCACCUGGCAGCCCUCACCCUGGAGAAGUCAGGUUCUCAGAAUGUAGAGCCUACCUGAGCUUGGGACCUUGCAGCAGCACUGAGGCCAAAGGGACCCAGGGAAAGCCCCCUUAGGAGAGAUAUCCUGUGGAUCUGCCCUGCGUGCCUAUUGGUCAACUUGCUUUCUGAGGGCACGCAGAGGAGGGGCAGACAGACUGCCAGGCCCCAUGCCGGGCCACACUACACUCCCAUGAGGGAGCUGGGACCCUCCGGCUUGUGAGCUGCCAGUGGAAAAAUUGAUUUGAAAUAACUCAGAUGACCUUUUCCUUUAGUAAGAAAUGAAAGAAUGCAUAUUAUUUUUAAAGUAACCUUUAUCAUUUUUCCAACUAUGGACGUAAUAUAAACCUGAUAUAUAAAUAUUUGUUUAUUUAUUUAAUGGAGGGACUGUGGAUUGAACCCAGGACCUUGUGCAUCCUAAGCACAUAUUCUACCACUGAGCUAUACCCUUCUCCCUUAUAAAUUUUUGAAAAUAUAGAAAAGCACAGAGAACCUUCCCUCAAGCUCCUGCCCCAUGCUCAGUCCCGCCUCCAUCUUCUGAAAAAUGAAAUGGUCUCAUGACAUGCGUACCUGCCCCUCGGAGGGCAGGGGAUAGUCCCAGCUUAUAUGCUUCAGAAAUCGUGCCUGAAGGGACAUCAGCAUGACUUACUCUUCCUGCCACUGGUUUACGUGGUUGAUGGUUGUCAUGUUUCUCUACGGCCGUGUCAUUCAUAUAAGUACAUAUGCUUUUUAACAUUGGGAUCAUAUCAUUGCUUUGCUGCUUAAUGUUUCAUAGUUCUUUUCCCGUUGCACAGACAUGCUUCAAUAAUACCAUUUUGAAGGGCCGUGUCGUCACAUAGCUGUACUAUAAUAUAUUAAUUAUUUACCUAUUUUGGAACACCUGGACUUCCGUUUUUUGCUAUUGCACAUUCCCUUUCUUGACCAUCUUUGUCUGUAAUUUUUGUUUGAAUUUCUAAUUAUUUCCUCAGAGAAAACGCCCAGGUAUUUAAGUGUCCUAGUUAAAUAGCUUUGAUACGUUCUGUGAUAGUGUUCCUAGAAGGGACACCCCUGGCUUAUUUACAGGCUGCCACCAGCGCAGGUCUAAGAGGGCCGGUGCCGUGAGUCUGUACCAGCUUAUGGCAAUACCAGUAAAGCAAAUCCUAUAAUCCAAAAGGCAAAUAAUGGUAUUUCAGAAUCAUAACUUAUGUGAUUAUCAACAAAACAAAAACGUUCAUAAUUAUUAAGCCAUUUUAAAAUUUGGAAGGGUCAAUCACCUGCUUCCUUUGCCUGUUUUUCUAACAAGGUUUUGAUGAAUUUAUGCAAAAAUCAUUUAAUGAGCUCUCUAUCCAUUGCCCUUGUAACAUUUGUGGCAUAUGUGUUUGAGUGUGUUGAUUACUUUUAUGUUUGUUUUUGAUGGUUUUUAUAGCA